GGGAAUUGUGUGUGCACAUCCAUCCACAAGCACACACACUCAUGCUCAGGCACACUGGCACCACCUGCUUUCCUUGCUUCUUCAGGUGAGUGUUGGAGUCCCUCUCAUUGCUGGGCCCCACCGAAAGGAGAAACAAGAUACCAGCGAGGGCUGGGGUGUCUGCUCCUGGGUGUGGCUGGCCCCAAAGCCCAGCAGGCUGUAAGGGCAGCAAUUAGGCAAAGCCUCUGGGCUGCAGCGGGAGGGAGGAGGAGGAUUAUGGCAAAUUCAUUUCUAUUUUCCAGCCCACUAAGCCUGCAGUGUGUCCCCGUGUUAGCAUGAGAAUGGGCCGGGGCUCUGUGAACCCCCCCACUCCGACCUACUGACCCCUCUCCCCCCACGUGAAUAUCAGGACUCUCAGCCUUCCCGGCCUCUCCAACCAGUGCCUGCAAAGCCACGACUCCUAAUCAGGGUAAUUUAAUAUAUUUUAAGCCCCUGGCGGCUUUAUUUUCCCUCCUUUUGGAGUUUGUUUUAGGCAUUCACAGCUCUCACCCCAUCAUUAGAUGGCCUUAUUUGACGGAUGGAAGGGGCUGCUAUGAGACCACAGCCCUUUGUGUCCCCCACAUAAGCUGGGCUUCCCGUAAUUAGAAUGGUAUUCCCAGCCAUUGAGGCCUUUCAUGAGGCGGAACAAAAACUCCCCGAGAUGAAUAUCCCCCAACUCUCAACCCCCUGGCCAGAAAAGGGCUGUGAGUUAAAGGGACUCCUUAGGGAAGGCAGUCUGUGACCAAGGACAGCUGAGGUCCUGCCAGGGCCAGGAAUUUAGAGGUCAUGGGGAGUGGGCACCGGACAAAGACUGGUUGUGGCUGCUGGUAAGCACCAGUCACCUACACACACCUCCCCAGAUGCUUAGCCAGCCUCAUGGACUUUGGGCCUCAACCCUUGUGGCCAGGGGAUCUGCCUGUGCCUGUGAGGCUGGGGGCAGAGUGGAGGGUUCCUGUGAACUCAGAGUUACCCAGACCCUCACUCCAGAGGACUUUGUGGCUAAACACAGAAACACAAAUCAGACAUAGUUGAUCACACACAAACAGGCUUGGUAUUACACUGCAGACAUAUGCACACCUGUGUACACACGGACACACACAUGCGCAGCAGCAAGAUCACAGUGUUGCAGGAAGAGCCACACACUGCCACCCAGACAUAAAGCCCAACUGUAGUCUGUGGUUGUAUCCAUGCAGAUCCACAUGCACACAGGCCACCCAGACUUGUUUGCUUGUGAGCACACAUAUUCCUGCAUACAUGUACAACCCCAGUCAUGCUGUCCCCAGUUCUUCUGCACAGACUAUGUCACCCUCUCCCCCCAGGACACAGACUUCCUCUAGCCUCCAUCCUGGAUCCAUGCAUAGCCUGUGUCCAAAUCCAGAGAUGUAUGUGCACACACACGUGGACGUGUGCAUGCUCUCUGCCUCACAUGAACACAGGUAAAUACUAUGGAGCCAAUAUGCCAUUGCCUUACCAGGGUAGAAACUUGUGACAAACACACAGAAGGGCUCCAGCGAGGAGCUCCUAGCCAGCUAUACAUGGUGUUGGGAACUCAUCCCGCCCCCCCUAGGUGGACUGGACUCUCCUCCUCCUCUGGAAUUCAGGUGGUCUCUCAUACCCUUUGGGAAGAGAAAAUCCCUUUUUUUGAGUUUUCCUGCUUGGACUGGGCCCUAAGAACAGAAUGCAGACAUGUAUCUGGCUGCCUAGUACAGUUGGUACAGGACUCAGGAAAGGCUUAGAGAGUGCUGCUUGGUCUGGUAGUCUGGAGAAGGAAGAUCCCAGCCUCUUAACUGACACGUGAGGGAAGCAGUCUCAUGAGGAAGCAGUGAAUGCUCUAUCUCUUUGAGGAUUCAAACAGGGCAGGUGAGCUGGGUAUGGUGGCACAUGCAUGUAAUUUCAGCAUUCUGGGAAGCUGAGGCAGGAGGCUUGUAAGUUUGAGCCCAGCCUGGAUAACAUAGCAAGACCCUGUCUCAAAUUUAAAACUAAGAAAAAAGACUAGGAAUGUAGCUGACUGUGAAGGCCUUGGGUUCAAUCCCCAGUACAUUUACUCAGUUCAGCUCCUAGUCUAUGUCAGACCCUGGGCUUGGGGCUUGGACUACAGUGGUGAGUGACAAACAACUGUGCCAUUGGAGGAACCUAGUCUUGAAAGAGGAGACCAGACACACACAAUUAGUAUACAUGCCUGGCACAGGGUACAGGGGUGAGGCUGGGUGGAGCAGAAAGCCACAUCCUGGCCCUAUAGUUUGCACCUUGGAAUAGAGUGAUAGAGUGGAUGGUUUCACAUUCCUGUGCCCCAGGGACGGUCACAGCACCUUGGAAGUCCUCAUGUUAAAUCCACGUUGGAUUAGCUGGUUUCCAAGCCUGUCUCCACUCCAAGAUUCUUGGACUCCUGGUCUGUGUCCAUGGCUUGCUCACUGUGGGACCCUCCGAAGGAGAGGAGGUGCCCCCAGCUCACUGCACAGUGCCGCUUUAUCACAGCAUGUACAGUCCACACCAAAGCUGCACCGAGUCCAUGGCGAGGACCGCAGAUGGGGCUGUUCAUAUCCUCGGGAACAAAGGCGAGAUUCCUCCACAGUGAGGAAUCUACUUUGGGAGAGGGUGGUUGGUCUGACUCUCUUAUGGUUCUUGGUUUUUUAGGAGUGAAGAGCAGCCCACUGAACCCCGCUAAACCUCCUUCUCUUACCCUCUCCCCCCGUUUGGUGUUGCUGAGGAUUGAAUCCAGGGCCUCUCUGCACAAGUGCGUCACUGCUGAGCUGUACAUCCCAGCCAAGAAGCAGUUUUGCAGGGAUGGAGAGGAGGGAGAAGAAGGGAAGGCAAGAAAAAAAGAAGUAUGUCAUAUAAAUGUACCAGCUUCUCACAAUGAAUGCAAUCAUUAUGGACUACAAGCAUGU
rnacentral:lncRNA from 1 species